rnacentral:rRNA from 1 species
GUGUCAGCCGCCGCGGUAAUACGAAGGUGGCAAGCGUUACUCGGAAUUACUAGGCGUAAAGGGCAGGUAGGUGGUUUGGUAAGUCUGUUGUGUAAGCUCCUGGCUUAACCGGGAGAGGUCAACAGAAACUACCAGGCUUGAGUAUAGGAGAGGUUACUGGAAUUCCCGGUGUAGCGGUGAAAUGCGCAGAGAUCGGGAGGAACACCAAUGGCGAAAGCAGGUAACUGGACUAUUACUGACACUGAGCUGCGAAAGCUAGGGGAGCAAACAGGAUUAGAUACCCGCGUAGUCC